CCCUUAGAUGUUCUGGGCCGCACGCGCGCUACACUGAUUCAUGCAACAAGUUUUGUCCUUGGCUGAUAGGCCUGGGUAAUCUUUGAACGUGAAUCGUGAUGGGGAUAGAUGAUUGCAAUUAUUCAUCUUCAACGAGGAAUUCCUAGUAAACGCAAGUCAUCAGCUUGCAUUGAUUACGUCCCUGCCCUUUGUACACACCGCCCGUCGCACCUACCGAUUGAAUGGUCCGGUGAAAUCUUCGGAUCUGAGAGAUGUCUGAUUAAUUUCGGACGCCUUUUGGAAAAGUUGCUUAAACCUUACCAUUUAGAGGAAGGUGAAGUCGUAGCA
rnacentral:rRNA from 1 species